AGAGAUGUGUGAUGACGCAUAUCAAUAAGCGGAGGAAAAGAAACUAACAAGGAUUCCCUUAGUAACGGCGAGUGAAGCGGGAAGAGCUCAAAUUUGAAAUCUUCAAGGUUCCACCUUGACGAAUUGUAGUUUAUAGAAGUGUUUUCUGUUAGUGGAGUGGCAAAAGUUCUUUGGAAUAGGACAUCAUAGGAGGGUGAGAAUCCCGUAUUUGGUCAUUCCUCCUAGCGUUGUGAUACACUUUCAAAGAGUCGGAUUGUUUGGGAAUGCAGUCCAAAAUGGGUGGUAAAUUUCAUCUAAAGCUAAAUAUUGGCGAGAGACCGAUAGCGAACAAGUACCGUGAGGGAAAGAUGAAAAGAACUUUGAAAAGAGAGUUAAACAGUACGUGAAAUUGUCAAAAAGGGAAGCGUUUGACACCAGUGUUGUUUUUCCGAAAAUCAAUUACGAAUGUUUUAUUUUUGAAGAAGUUAUGACUUCAUCGGCUUGCUUCUCUCUUUAUGAAACUUUCUUAAUGCACUUUUCGGUUAACAAGUCAACAUCAAUUUCUUUUGUUGUAAAAGGGUAUGAGGAAGGUGGCUUUCUUUUCGGAGAAAGUGUUUAUAGCCUUGUACCUCUGCAAUCGGAGAGAUUGAGGUCUGCAGCGUAGAUCCUUCGGGGUUAGAUACAUUUGUGCUAAGUUAUAGCUUUUCAUAGACAACUUGUUGACUAUGUUAGUCUUGUAGCUUACUCGCUUAUGCUAUUUUACCUACGCUUAGGAUGUUGACGAUCAGCUGAGCGCG
rnacentral:rRNA from 1 species